CCCUCUAUAAAGUUCUCGUUUUCAAUUGGUUUACAUACCAGGCAAAUGUAGAUGCACCUUACACUUUAUAACCCCUAUAAAAUUAUUUAAAUGAUGAUGCUUUGCUACCUAGACAAAGAAACACAUUUGCGGAUAAAUUUACAUCAUAGAAAAAUACAUGACAAAGAUUUCCAUUUGCAGAGGUAUACAAAUACAUAAGUUUGCGAAAGUUUUGAGAUGGUUAUAAAUAUAUGCAAAUUCUAAACUUUAAAAUGGUUUGAUUAGGUGUUAAUAUAUUUUAUAAACCGCGGUCUCUCAUAACCGCCCAUAGGAGGGUAUAGCACAAGAAAUGUUGAUAUUUACUACAUGUAAAGACAAGAUAAACUAAAUGCAGCGGUUUGUAAAUAUAUGUAAAUGUCGGUCUCUGAAUACAUUUACAUAACAUUUGCAUACCUCUUCAAAUCCGGGAUUUCGUGUAGUGAGCAAUGUUCAAGGCUUGAUUUUAUAGUGUUGAAUUGGAAUAUUAAUUCGAUAGAGUACUACAAACAGAAAGGUGCUUUUGAUUUGACCGGAACAGAAAAAUGGCAUUUAUUUCGUAUGAAAGAGAGUGAGAUGAAAGCGUUUAUAGCUCCAUGACUUUAAGUUACAUUUGUUAAUAAAUAUACUGACACCAUUAUAGCUGACAUUAUUUAAAGGGUAUGCCCAGUCCCUG
rnacentral:lncRNA from 1 species